UACGUAGGGGGCAAGCGUUGUCCGGAAUCAUUGGGCGUAAAGCGCGCGUAGGCGGCCCGGUCAGUCCGUUGUGAAAGUCAAAGGCUCAACCUUUGAAUGCCGACGGAUACUGCCGGGCUAGAGUCCGGAAGAGGCGAGUGGAAUUCCUGGUGUAGCGGUGGAAUGCGCAGAUAUCAGGAGGAACACCGAUGGCGAAGGCAGCUCGCUGGGACGGUACUGACGCUGAGGCGCGAAAGCGUGGGGAGCGAACAGG
rnacentral:rRNA from 1 species